rnacentral:ncRNA from 1 species
GCGCCGCAACGGCUUCCUGACGUGGCGCACAUUUAACCCUUGGAGCA